rnacentral:ncRNA from 1 species
AACCAAGUCAUGAAGAGAAGAGUAGUUUUCCAAGACUGUUUAAAGAGAGCCGGGAUUGGUGAGAACCGGUAAUAGCAAUGAAAAUGAAGAUGAACUCUGAAAAAUGGAUCAUCGUUAACGCGGUGGUCACGGCAGGAUCCGUUACCAUCCCUAGCAUUAUUGUGCUGAUGAGGCAAUUUGACUUAGUCAGGUUGCGAAACAGGGUGGUACCACGAUUCGUCGUCCCUUUA